GGCGACUGUUACAUGAAAGCCAGGCUAAUGACCUUGCUAGAUUUUUAGAGAGGUGGUGCAUGGCCGUCGUCAGUUCGUACCGUAAGGCGUUCUCUUAAGUGAGAUAACGAACGAGACCCUCACUGAUAAUUGCUACUUCACCCUCCGGGGUGGAGGCACAUUAUUGGGACCGCUGACGCUAAGUCAGAGGAAGGAGAGGUCAACGGUAGGUCAGUAUGCCCCGAAUCUCUUGGGCUACACGCGCGCUACAAAGGGCGGGACAAUGGGCUCCGACGCCGAAAGGCGAAGGCAAUCUCGAAACCCGUCCAUAGUUCGGACUGAGGGUUGUAACUCACCCUCACGAAGCUGGAUUCCGUAGUAAUCGCGAAUCAACAACUCGCGGUGAAUAUGCCCCUGCUCCUUGCACACACCGCCCGUCAAACCAUCCGAGUUGGGUUUCAGUGAGGUGGCCUUUAAUUGGGGUCUUCAAACUGAGAUUUAGCAAGGAAGGUUAAGUCGUAAC
rnacentral:rRNA from 1 species